rnacentral:rRNA from 1 species
CCUGUCCUACGGGAGGCAGCAGUGGGGAAUAUUGGGCAAUGGGCGCAAGCCUGACCCAGCAACGCCGCGUGAAGGAAGAAGGCCCUCGGGUUGUAAACUUCUUUUAACAGGGACGAAGAAAGUGACGGUACCUGUUGAAUAAGCCACGGCUAACUACGUGCCAGCAGCCGCGGUAAUACGUAGGGGGCAAGCGUUAUCCGGAUUUACUGGGUGUAAAGGGCGUGUAGGCGGGAGAGGAAGUCAGACGUGAAAUUCCAGGGCUCAACCCCGGAACUGCGUUUGAAACUGGUCUUCUUGAGUGAUGG